rnacentral:misc_RNA from 1 species
AACGCACAUUGCGCCUUCUGGUAAUCCGGGAGGCAUGCCUGUCUGAGCGUCAUUACACCAUUCAAACUUUUACUUUUUUAGUUGAAGGUUGGUUUUGGGAGUAGACUGAGUAAAACUGGUAACAGCAACUUUUUGGUCUCUUCUGUAAUGUAUUGACGAGUGUCUACUGUCUCUUAGUUGUAGCAAGUAUCUUUCUCAACUUCAAGAUCAGCAGUAUGAUAGUCCUACUUCACCUUGUCCUUCCUUCGGGAUUGGCAUUUCCAAAGUUUGACCUCAGAUCAGGUAGGAAUACCCGCUGAACUUAA